AACGAACGCUGGCGGCAUGCCUAACACAUGCAAGUCGAACGAGACCUUCGGGUCUAGUGGCGCACGGGUGCGUAACGCGUGGGAACCUGCCCUUAGGUUCGGAAUAACUCCCCGAAAGGGGUGCUAAUACCGGAUCAUGUCUUCGGACCAAAGAUUUAUCGCCUUUGGAUGGGCCCGCGUUGGAUUAGCUAGUUGGUAGGGUAAAAGCCUACCAAGGCGACGAUCCAUAGCUGGUCUGAGAGGAUGAUCAGCCACACUGGGACUGAGACACGGCCCAGACUCCUACGGGAGGCAGCAGUGGGGAAUAGUGGACAAUGGGCGAAAGCCUGAUCCAGCAAUGCCGCGUGAGUGAUGAAGGCCUUAGGGUUGUAAAGCUCUUUUACCCGGGAUGAUAAUGACAGUACCGGGAGAAUAAGCGCCGGCUAACUCCGUG
rnacentral:rRNA from 1 species